rnacentral:rRNA from 1 species
AAUCAAACUUGCCUUUCUUUUUCUGUGUAGUCAGGAAUGGAAAUGUGCAGAAUGUGAAGUGUCUCGACUUUCUAUUCAUUUUGAAUGGAGAAUUGAGUCCUUUUAAAUCGACACUGUCUCUCUAUAUAGUUACUGUGAUUUGCUUUGCAUGAACGCGGUGAUCUGCUGAUCGUUUGCGCAUGUUGGCGACUUCGGUAGAAACAUAUAGGGGAAACCUCAAUUUGCGGUAUGUUGUGGCUUCGGCUCGACAAUCUUGCUUAUUGUGUGUGGACUCUGUUUUUAUUCGAGGUGUACUAGCGUGUGUGGGCUUGAACGGUGGUUUUGCUGUUUAUUAGUGUAUUGCUGCUGGUAGCGCAUUUACUCUUCGGAGUUUAUGUUUUAGAGAAAUAGGCCAGUUGGGAAAUCAAUGCUUUGAGUAAUCAUUGCAUCUCAA